UACGUAGGGCGCAAGCGUUUAUCCGGAAUUAUUGGGCGUAAAGAGCUCGUAGGCGGUUUGUCGCGUCUGCCGUGAAAGUCCGGGGCUCAACUCCGGAUCUGCGGUGGGUACGGGCAGACUAGAGUGAUGUAGGGGAGACUGGAAUUCCUGGUGUAGCGGUGAAAUGCGCAGAUAUCGGGAGGAACACCGAUGGCGAAGGCAGGUCUCUGGGCAUUAACUGACGCUGAGGAGCGAAAAGCAUGGGGAGCGAACAGG
rnacentral:rRNA from 1 species